GGGCCUGUGGUCUAGUGGCUAUGACAUCACCUUGACAUGGUGGAGGUCGUGAGUUCAAAUCUCACCAGGCCCA
rnacentral:tRNA from 1 species